UCGGUCCCAGACGUAAAUAAUCAUAUCUGAUUGAAACACGUCUGACAAAACUAAAAUACACACACCGCCCGGCAAACUACCAGAAAGGUCCCAGGGUAUUUGAGCUGACUUGGUCUCGUCAUGAUCAUUCUCCUGACCAGACAUCGAUGUGUUAUAUAUAGAUACUGUCGAAGAUGUUUUAUGUGACAUAAAUGAAGAUUUAUACCUCAAUAUUGGACUGAUUUUCCUCAGGAAAGGGAGAAUGUGUUAAUUUCUCAUAAACUGAGCAUUCUGGGAAUGUGACAGCGACUGUGAGUCCCAUCUAUUAUUUGGAGAAGCCGGUGACCUGAUGAUAUGACGUCACUGUUGUAUUAUGGUGACGUCAGUCCUACUGAUCAAACUUGAAGGGGUUAUCCCUAUUUUUUUUUAAGUAAACAAUAACAAAAGACAACGAAGUACUGACAUUUAUGGAAAGACAUAUUGAUUUACCCACUGACGUACAGAAGGAUGGGGGAAGUCAAUGCCAUGGACCCGCCAAAAUUAUAAUGACCAAGACAAAAUUUAGAAAGAAAAGAAGGUAAUGUUAAUUGUAUUCUUUACUGAAUAUUAUGUCAAACCUAUUACAAAAUUA